GAUCAGCACUUGUUUCCCAUUCAGGUGAGUAGCCACCUGCAAGUCGGAUUAUUAAAUGACAUAGAACAUAUCCUAGAACUUCUUAGGUUUCCCUCCCAUUUAUGUCCUAUUUAUGACUGUUAAAAUGUAAUAAAUACUUGCUGUUUGAAGUUCAAAGUUUGCCUUUUCUACAUUAUCUUGUUAUAUUUUUAUAAUGAUCACGACCAACCACUAACAGUGGCCAAUGACAGAGACUGUACUCUAAAGCUCUGCAGUCGUUCUCCUCCAUGGCUGUGAGAUGAAGCCUGCACAGGCUGAGCGGAAGGGGACAACUGUACCCGCCGCACCAGCGUUCUAACAGCGGCUGGUGAACAGUGCUGCUGCUGCUCCUGGUUUAGGCAAGACGAGCCCAGGGCUUCCUUGUAGCACCUUUCAGACUGAUGAAAAUUAGGCAAGUACAUCUAUUCCCUUUGGGCAAGACAAGGUUUGCACAUAUGUAUCAUUCCACAUAUUCAGAAACAGAUCAAUCUACGAAAUGCUUUCUUCCUUUUAUAUUCACAUUUUCACACCAAAAUGUUGACUUUAUCUUUGAAAGUGGGGUAGAUACUUUAUAAAUAGAAAAGGAAAGACAAAACUAACUCAAGGUACAUAGUAAAUAAAACUAGAACCAAGGCAUCCUGAUAGCUCCGUUAGUGCUUUAACCCAGGAGAGUAGUUAUUUAAUACGAAGCUAUAAACCACCUAAUUAAUCUUUUUAAUGACUACUUUAUGCAAUAUCUUCUUUAUCGUUUUGAAGAAUGUAUAUAAAGAGAAUAAAAAUUAGAGCCAGAAUUAAUGGACUGUUAAUACUAACAGCCAAAGGAAAAGAAAAAUGUUUCCCUGCACGUCAUUUUAUUUUCCAGCAAUGCCUGACGCUUUUAAUACCUAACUAAACUAAAUUCAGAGCAGAGUGGUCAAUAAAAUCCUGUAGCUUACAGUGUGCAGCAUUCUCUUUCGAGCUAUCAAUUUCUUCUAGAUUAUGAAUAAAAUUUCCAUAACCUGGACUUUAUAUGGUUUUUCUUCCUUAUUUAGCAUUAUCUGUAGAAUGAAAAGGUUGGGCUAGAUGAUCUCUAAAUCCUUUUCCACUCUAAGACUUUAUAACUCUAUAGCUUUUAUUGUUGUUUCUUCCUAGUCUUUGCCUUGAAAAAUAAAUCAUAUUAAAAAGCACAAAAUAACUAAAUAUCAAGUUAACUUAGUUAUUACUUCAGUCCUAGGUCUUUGAAUUCCCUCAAAAACACCUCAACAUGAACACACCAUUAUAUCCUCAGUGAUUCAUAGGGAUAGUACCAUACAUCACUUCUUUCAUGUUUCUUGAACAGUACUAUUUCAAAAAGAAUCAGUUUUCUUCCAUUUAGGCCCCCAAAAGCAAAAUCAUUAUGGCUAAUUAACCGUAGUAGACAUAAGCAGUUAUUGAAAAAAUUACAAAUAGCUUUAUAGAAGAAAAUCUGAUUUUCAUCAUAUACAUAAUUGUUUCACCCAAAGAAAGCAAUAUAUGCAAAAUUAUAUUUAAUAAAAAUGAUAUAUGCCUUAGAAAGGGGAAGUUUUAAAUGCAUAAGUAAUGAAGACAAUAGUUAUUGCCCAAAGCACAAGAAUCUUUGUGGAACAUUUUGCAAACACCCACACUAACAGCACCAAAUUUACUCCUUAGGAAUUACAAAGUAGAAGAUUUAUAACACAAACUAAAAAUACAAUUUUACAAGAAUAUAUUAAAAGUCCUUAUGAAGCCUAUAAAACUGCAACUAUAAAGGCAGUUCUUGGCACUUUACCAUCCAUUCUUACACUACCCUUUUUUUUUUCCAGAUUACAGAACUGCUGCUCAAGGUGGCAUAGGAAGAGCUGUGGUAAGAGGGUAAAAUGCAGGAGCCACCCUUGGGAUGCCACCAGAAGGCUCUGCGACCAUCAACCCUUGUAACCUCAACUUUUAGAGCGAUUAUCUGUGAUCAUAUACACAACUUGAAGAUAGAACAUUAUAUUUUUCUACUACUUCCAACUCCAAAAGAUUUGGGCUUACAAGACAGAUUUUCAAAGAUUUUUCCUUUAUGGGCCACCAUCUCCAUUUUACCUAUCCUUUCUAUAAAAGCAAGACAAUGUUUUGUUUAGAAAGGUGAAUAUUAGUUUAUCCUACAAUCCAUGGAGAACUGGUACUUUCAGCCAGCAAAAAAAACCACAUACACAAAAACUUCUUAAAAAAGAGAUAAGGAUUUUUUUGUGUGUGUAAAAACGCUCAAUUACUUCCAAGAUUGCUUUUAACUCCAAACUUAUUUCCAGAAGUAAAUUUCAAACUAAAAGUAGAAAAUUUUCUUUCAAUCACAAGUUCACAGUGAUUUUAGUGCCAUCUACAGUUAGUUAAUCAUGAAAACAAGUUUAAAAAUUUUAAUCCUAAUUUACUGAUAUUAAAAUUUUAAUUUGGCACUUCUUGUCAAAAAUAGCAGUCCAAUGUAAAAUUAAGCUAUGUAGGAAACAGCAAUAGCCUUAAUUUUGUUUGAUACUAAACAGAAAGACUUAAGCAAGUACUAAAUAACACCGAAACAAGAUACUCUAAAUUUUUUGAAGGGAGAAUCUCAUAUAUUGGAUUUGAAUUAAUGUAUAUAGGUGCACCAGUUUUAACUCUUUAACAUUUUAUAAAGAAGCUAGUCGGUAUUAACAAUGGGAAGAAGCUGCUGCUACCUGCUAAAUCAAAUUUUAAAUGUACUGACAUAAAAAAGCAAAUCUAAAAGAAACUUUAGAGCCCUCAGAUGAUAGCUUCUUGACCAAGGAAUCAUUAGUUUAUCAUGUUCACAGUUCAGAUAAGCUUAAAAAUGGAAAUGGGAAACCUCAAUCAAAGAGUAAACAGCUUCUAUAUUAAAGUACUAUAAAAGAAGUUUUUCAAAAUAUUUCCCACUACCUUUUUUUUGGCCCUUAAAGAAGGUUAAGAAUAGAAAAAUACUCUAGUAAAGAAGUGUAGUAACGAAUACUCUAUGAAAUCAAAAGAAGAUACAGGAACAACUGUAUUAGGCCUUCCUUUUUUCCUGCACAACUCCAAGCAUUAUCAUCUUCUAUCAGCUUUCCAUUUUUAGGACAUUCUUAGGAACAGAAUGUCCCUUAUCUGAACUUUAUCAGAUCAUGUUGGAAAUCUGUUUUUUCAGAAAAAUUUAAAAUGUGAGAUUUAGUUUAUAUGAAUAAUUUACUCAUUUAAAGACAGGGAAGCGCCAUUCAUACUCCUCCAUUCAGAAAGAUGACUUACUUUUUCUGGUAAACCAUGAAUAAAAUAUUCCUCCAAUAUACAUGGCACAACUGUAGAGAUUUACUUCCAAUCAAAAGCAUUAAAAUUCAUGCUAACCAAUUAUGUUUCAUAUUUUAUAUCAUAGGAUUUUGGUAAAAAUAGGUUUUGGAGUAACUUUAGAUAAGAAUACAACUAAAAGUAUGCCAAAGAUCUUUCAGAUGAGAAAUAAGUAAGGUUUUGGUUGUGCAAGCAUGUACAUGUAAAGGAGAUUUUUAAAAAGCAAAUUUAGCAUUCUGACGUUUCCUGAGUGAUAAUCUCAUAAAUUUCGGUAGAAAUGACAGCAAUAUUGGGUUAAUUCAAUUAUGCAUAGAGAUCUCACAAGGUUUGAGUUAUUUUCACAGUGCUGCUCAA